rnacentral:lncRNA from 1 species
AAAUACCACUGUAUGAUAUUAUUUUCAUAAUCAAUGAUAUGUUAAUAUAAUGUUGAUGUAACAUUCGUAUGACAUGUUAAUUAUUAUUGUAUAUCAUAAACCAUAAUACUGCUACAUCACUGCUACAUCAGUAACACAUUAUUAUUUAGUCAACUAAAUUAUGCGGUGGGAUUUAGUUGCGAUAAUUAAAAAGUUGGAACUAAAACUUACAAUAGAUUAAAAUUUGGAAGACCAAAAUGUCAUCGACUAUAUAGUUUGAGGGCUAAUACAUGGAUCGUAAAAACUGACCAACUAUCUAAAAAACACGUUAUAAUAGGAAGGAGACACCUACCGCACUUAAGGGCUUUGCUAUAAUGCUUACGAACUGAUUCAAUCCACCUGAACUUAAGAUUUAUUGUUGGGCCUCUUGCCGUUAUGUUUAUUGUGAACCGCUGUCCCACCCAACUCAACUUAAAGUUGAACCUGUUUUAAUCAACAAUAAAUAGCCAACACAAUAAUGUAAUUCUGUCCGGCAUUAACUAUUAAUAUAAGAUUAAAGAGAGAGUUUUCUUUGGCUUCUUCCUUGAGAGGAUCAUAUAUAUUAUGUUAUGACAUGAAAGUAAGUUAAAAGAAGGUCCCACAUUACCUAUUUGAAGAAAAUUUGACUAGUACUAUGGUCUCCUACUAAGAAAUGGCAAGAACACCCUAUGUGCCUUGGACACAGAAGUUACUGUAAAUAUAUACUUAGCUACAUUUUUAACUUUUACAAUUUAGAUCUUCAAGUUCUAUUAUUUAUUUUGAUUAAGUUUUUUUGUUGUCAAAAUGCCUGCUAAACUGUGACCAUCACUGUUUGGUGCUGACAUGAUAAAAUUAAAAGGUUGAUGUUAAACUAAAAAUUUAAAUAAAGAUUCGAAACCAAUUAAAACCUCAGUAGUUCUGCAUGAAUUGUUUAGAGAUAAUUUUGUAUAAACAUUGAGAACUUCUGAUAUUUACUUGCGCAAACUUAUUCGACUUCAAUUGUUUUCUUUCUACCAACUUGACGCACCAAAUGACAAUUUUCAAAAAUCACAAAAUUUAAUUUAGUUCAAAUACUCUAAAUCAUUGAUUUGUAUGUCCCAUUAUUAUAGUUGACCUUACAGAAUUAAGUGUUCCCUCUAAUAAAAGGGUACGUGGUAGCUCAAUUAAUUCAUGGGUGGAAAUUAGGCUUGAAAACGGUUGGAUCUUUGAUGAAACUAUAUUCGCAUCUAUAUUUUUUCGGAUGCAAAUUCGAAUACGAUAUAUGUUGGAUGUUAAAUUUUUGCUAUCAUAUUUGCUAAAAAUGGAUUUGAAUAAGGUCAGAUAUUACUACGACUCCAAAUAUUAUUUGGAUAGUAAUAUACACUAAAUAUGCACAUAUGAAAAGGGAACUAGAAUUAGCAACAACAUAACUAAAACUUUACAUUUGUUUUCAAAUUUUGAUAUAUCUAUAUUUUAUUGAAUAACAUCUAAACUCUAAACAAAAACAAUUACAAUUUGAUACAAAACUUAUAAUAAAGUAAACAAAAAACACAAUAUUGUAAACAUAAUAUUCGAAUUCAAAUUCAAAUUCAAAAUAUUCUAAUGCAUCCCUGUCUGAAUCCGAAUUCGAAAAAAUUGUGAAUAUAAUAUCUGAAUCUGAAUCUGAAUUCGGCCGAAUGUAUAAUGUUGGUGUAAAUAUUCAAAAAAUAGAGGUUAGCUACAAAAUAAUUUAAAAAAUAUCAACGAGUCGAUCAAGCCGAGGCACGGAUAUCUCGCUCUCUUUAAGGAGAUUCAAGCCCUCUGCGGUUGGCAAAGCCUUUGAACCGAUGCAGCAGAGCACCGACUUGUCCCCUCCAGGAUACAACGGCUCGACCCUCGUCGUGUGGNCAAUUUUAAUGACUUUUAUUUAAAUAGAUUUAACUACUAAAUUAUUUUUAUAUAAUUUUUGUUUAAUUAAUAAUUAGACUUAUAAAACUAUAUAAAAAUAUUAAAAAAAUAAAAUUUAUUAUAAAAAUAAUUUUAUAUCCGCAGCAUCGCGCGGGUAAUUUACUAGUUAUACAAUAUUAUCUUGUGGAGGGAUUCAAGAUUUUUUUUGGAUUGAUUUAUUGGUGACUGGGGUCCAUAGAAACUUUUAUUUUUGGACCACUUUGCUUUUGAAAAGUAUAUAUUUUUGAAAAGAUGUGACAGGUUACAAUGAUCAGAUUCUAUAUAUAUAGGCACAAUUACAUUAAUUAAUUAGUUAUUACAGUAAUGGGGAAGCACAAGCAACAACCUUAGAUGUUGAAAGACAAAUAGACCUUACCUGCAGGCUUCUUCUCUCAAAUUUUUUGUAUCGUUGCAAUUAAAUCCUACAGUAUGAUAUUAUUUGCAAAAUUAAUGAUAUGUUAAUAUAAUGUUGAUGUAACAUUAGUAUGACAUCUUAAUUAUUGUUAUAUCAUAAACCAUAAUACUGCUACAUCACUGCUACAUCAGCAACACAUUAUUAUUUAGUCAACUAAAUUAUGCGGUGGGAUUUAGUUGCAAUAAUUAAAAAGUUCGAACUAAAACUUAUAAUAAAUUAAAAUUUGGAAGACCAAAAUGUCAUCGACUAUAUAGUUUGAGGGCUAAUACAUGGAUUGUAAGCACUGACCAACUAUCUAAAAAAUAUGUGCUAAUAGGAAGGAGGCACCUAUCGCACUUAAGGGCUUUACUAUAAUGCUUAAGAGCUAAUUCAAUCUACCUGAACUUAAGAUUUAUUGUUGAAUCUCUUGCCGUUAUGUUUAAUGUGAACCGCUGUCCCACCCAACUCAACUUAAAGUUGAACCUAUUUUAAUCUAUCUACUACAAAUACAUAAUUUGACAGUCUCAAAAGGUGUACGUGGCAUUUUUUAACGCUUCCAAGUCAUACGUCCUUUUUCUCACUUUUUCUCUCUCUAAAUCUGCUCAUUUCUUCUCUUCUUCUUUCAUCUAUUCUUUUCUUCUCUCUCCUCGCACUCAUACCAAAAUGUCUUGGGAAGGUAAGAUACUCCUUAACUCCUUCCCCAAAAAUUUUUUUUCUGUUUCCAAGAUAU